rnacentral:rRNA from 1 species
UAGGGAAUAUUGCACAAUGGGGGAAACCCUGAUGCAGCGACGCCGCGUGAGUGAUGAAGGCCUUCGGGUCGUAAAGCUCUGUUGAACGGGAAGAAACAAAUGACGGUACCGUUUAAGAAAGGAUCGGCUAACUUCGUGCCAGCAGCCGCGGUAAUACGAGGGAUCCUAGCGUUGUUCGGAAUCAUUGGGCGUAAAGAGUAUGUAGGCGGCCUAGUAAGUCAGAUGUGAAAUCCCCGGGCUCAACCUGGGAAUUGCAUUUGAGACUGCACGGCUAGAGUGUGUCAGAGGGGGGUAGAAUUCCACGUGUAGCAGUGAAAUGCGUAGAUAUGUGGAGGAAUACCGAUGGCGAAGGCAGCCCCCUGGGAUAACACUGACGCUCAUGCACGAAAGCGUGGGGAGCAAACAGGAUUAGAUACCCCCGUAGUCCCUGAGCGGGCUGGCAAGGCGCAU